rnacentral:rRNA from 1 species
GAUGAACGCUGGCGGCGUGCUUAACACAUGCAAGUCGAACGAAGCACCUUGAUUUGAUUCUUCGGAUGAAGAUCUUGGUGACUGAGUGGCGGACGGGUGAGUAACGCGUGGGUAACCUGCCUCAUACAGGGGGAUAACAGUUAGAAAUGACUGCUAAUACCGCAUAAGACCACAGCACCGCAUGGUGCAGGGGUAAAAACUCCGGUGGUAUGAGAUGGACCCGCGUCUGAUUAGCUGGUUGGUGGGGUAACGGCCCACCAAGGCGACGAUCAGUAGCCGGCCUGAGAGGGUGAACGGCCACAUUGGGACUGAGACACGGCCCAG